rnacentral:lncRNA from 1 species
UUGUAGAUGGACACAAUACCUUUAUUUUGUUUAUUUUUAUGUGGUGCUGGGAUAGAACCCAGUGCCUCAUGCUUGCUCAGCAAGCACUCUACCACUGAGCCACAACCCUGGCCCCAUCAUAUACAAUUUUAGAAAAAGGAAAAAAGAAGGGGAAGGAAGAGGUUGAACUAAAGCACUCCCUCAACAAUAAGAGACCCUUGGGGAUGCUUGGCUGAACCCAGCCCAGAACCCAGAUGAAAACAGAGAUGUAAAAUGUCAGCACCAGAUAACUCCCAGAGAUCACCCAUGCAACUCCCUCAUUGCACAGAUGGGGAAACUGAGGCCAAGGACAUCUCACUACUGUCAAUCCUUUCUUCCUGGAAGUUCUGCCCACACAGGUUUGGGGUUGAGGAAGUUGUAACAUUUCCUCUUCUAGGUUCCCACAGUCAAGGCAGGGAGAUAGGGGAUUCCCUUCUGAAGUCCAGGAGGUUUGGGUCCUAGCUCCACUUCACCACCUGCCUGGGGAACACCAAAAGAAGUGGGGAACUAUGUAUGGCUAGCUGAGUAGGUGGAUUCGUCAUAACAACAAUUAGGGAGGUGGAAGGCUUUCAGCGGGCUAAUUAUGUGGGCUAGGUCUCAGCCUAGUAAACUUCCUUAGGUGUUUGGCAUCUUUAUGUGAGAACUCCAAAGAUAAGAGAAACUAGGUACAAAGAAGUGCCAUCCUGGCAACCCUGAGGAUGGGAUGUGCAAGGAGAGCCCGUAAAGGACAGGGGAAGAGAGCCACUGAAGACAAGUGGUAGAUUCCAAAGCUGCUGGGACCACCU